rnacentral:rRNA from 1 species
AGGUUUAUUUUUUAUUUGUGGAUAAUAUACAAAUUAAAUUAUUUUUUAAUUCUUAAUAAUAAUUUUUUAAAUUUUAGUAGAAAUAUAUUUAUAUUAUUAAUUUUAAAGAUUUAUUUAUUAUAGUUUUUUAGUGUACAAAAAUAUAUGAAAAUAUGAGUUUACAUAAGUUUAAAUAUAAUUAUUUAAUAAUUAAAUUAUUUUGAUUAUUAUUUGUUGUUAAAUUAACAUAAAAUUUAAAUUUAAUUUAAUUUAGAGAUUAAACUGAAUGAUUAUAAAUAUUUACUUAAUAAAUAAAUUUAAUUUAAAGUUUUAAAUAUAUUAAAUUAAGAUUUUAUAUUUUAAAGUUUAAAAUUUAAUUAUUAAUAAAAAAUGUUAUUAGUAAUUUUUAUAUUGUUAUAUAGAUUAUUAAGAUAAUUUUUAAUAUUAGAAUUUUUAAAUAGAAACUAAAAAUUAAUUAUUUAAAUUUGUUUAAAUAAUUAAAAUAUUAUAAAUUUAAUGAGUUAUUUAAAUAAAAAUAAUUAAUAAUUAAUUAAUUAUCAUUUAAUUAGUAAAGAUUAAGAAAAUGAAUUUAUGAAUUAGACAACAUGGGUUUUUUAAUUGUUUAUUAAAAACGUAUUAUUAAGAUAAAUUAUGUAAUAUUUAAUAUUAAUUCUGCUCAAUGAUUUAUUUUAAAUAGCUGCAAUAAAUUGAUUGUACAAAGGUAGCAUAAUAAUUUGUAUUUUAAUUGGAUACUAGAAUGAAAGAAUAAAUAAGAGAAUUAUUUUAUUGUUUUAUUAAUUUGAAAUUUAAUUUAAAUUGAAAAUUAUUUAAUAUAAAUAAAAGACGAAAAGACCCUAAAAAUUUUACUAUUUUUUAAUAAGUUUAUUUGGGGUAAUUUAAUAAUUUAAUUUUAUUAUAAUUAAGUUUAAAAAUGGGUGAUUUUAAAUAUUUAUAUUAAUAAAAAUUACUUUAGGGAUAACAGGAUUAUAGAUUUUUUUAGUAUUAAAUAAGAAAUUUUGAUUGUUACCUCGAUGUUGAAUUAGUUAAUACAAAAUUAAAAAGAUUUAUUUUUGUUUAGUUUGUUCAACUUUUGUUAGCUACAUGAUUUGAGUUUAAACCGAUGUGAAUUAGGUUGGAUUUUAUCUUUUUUACUUAAUUAAAAUUUUAUAGUACGAAAGGAUUUAAAAUUAAUUUG